CUUGUCAAACUGGAUGGAUGAGUAUAUCCUGCUCAUAUACAUGUCAAGGGAGCACGCCUGAAAACAACAAUACACUUAUAAUAAUAAUAAUAAUAUUAGUGUAUUGCUGAGCUGUGUAUCCGCUGGUAACUUGUGGAUCCAACGUGCAGCUUUGAUCUAACGUUAACGUUCCCAGGUAUGUGAUCGUGUUAACAAGCUGGCCGUGUAAACCUGGUUUUCUAAGCGCGUGUAACAUUGUUUAAACCACCGAAUAACCUUUUUAACACUACGCCACGAUUGAAAAGAUCCAGGUAACUGGCCAGCUAAGAGGCUAACUGGUUUCCGCCAUUGUUUUUGGUGAUAAAGACGGGGGAUGGGUGGAACUGCAGCCACCAGCACCACCAAGCUUAACGCUAGCAUAGCUGCAAGCCAGCUAGCUAGCACGCAGAACUCAUACUGUAGAUUGGGUCCCCCAUCUCCUACAUUGGAACAACCAAAGGACCUCUUUGCACUCAGUGUGGCCAGGAGGAACAAUUACAGUGACCAAUAACUCUUUCAAUGUAGCCUACACAUUGGCAUACGCCACAGUGAGGCCAUUAGCGGACGACUUACACAGGCAGACGAGAAGGAAUCCUGAACAUCAUUUGAAUGCAUCUCCAAGAAAGAUGAUCGUUUAUCAUCCACUGCAGAUCAAGACUUGUUUCACAGCUGUGACACUGAUGCCCUUAGACUUCAUCUUAACCUUAAUGUCCUCUUGAGUCUGUUUAAAUGGAGUCUUCAUCAGAUAGACUAUCCUCCUGAAACCUUCCUCUAGUCCC